AACGAACGCUGGCGGCAGGCUUAACACAUGCAAGUCGAACGCAUCCUUCGGGGUGAGUGGCAGACGGGUGAGUAACGCGUGGGAACGUGCCCUUCAGUUCGGAAUAACCCAGGGAAACUUGGGCUAAUACCGGAUACGUGCGAGAGCAGAAAGAUUUAUCGCUGAAGGAUCGGCCCGCGUCUGAUUAGCUAGUUGGUGGGGUAUUGGCCCACCAAGGCGACGAUCAGUAGCUGGUCUGAGAGGAUGAUCAGCCACAUUGGGACUGAGACACGGCCCAAACUCCUACGGGAGGCAGCAGUGGGGAAUAUUGGACAAUGGGCGCAAGCCUGAUCCAGCCAUGCCGCGUGAGUGAUGAAGGCCUUAGGGUUGUAAAGCUCUUUCGUCCGGGACGAUAAUGACGGUACCGGAAGAAGAAGCCCCGGCUAACUUCGUGCCAGCCGCCGCGGUAA
rnacentral:rRNA from 1 species